GUAAUAGCUCACUGGUCGAGUGAAGUUGCGCGGAAAAUUACCGGGGCUAAGUUAUACACCGAAAUUGCGGAUUCAUUAAGAAAUUAAUGAAUGGUAGAGGAGCGUUCUAUACAGGAUGAAGUAUGAUCGAGAGGACAUAUGGACAGUAUAGAAGAGAGAAUGCCGGAAUGAGUAGCGAGAGCAAAGUGAGAAUCUUUGCCGUCGAAAAUCUAAGGUUUCCUGGGGAAGGUUCGUCCGCCCAGGGUAAGUCGGGACCUAAGGUGAGGCCGAAGGGCGUAGCCGAUGGACAGCAGGUUAAGAUUCCUGCACCAGUAUACAUGUAUAAUGCAUAAGAGGACACAUUUGAAGAAGGUGAGCGAGGAAGAGGAAAAACUCGUAUGGCAACAUAUAGUGAAAUUAAGUAACGAAUCAUCAAGAGGCAAGUGGCGAGAAAAGUCUUAUGUAGUUGUGUAGACUGCCCGUACCGCAAACCGACACAGGUAGAUGAGGAGAGGAUCCUAAGACGAGCGGGAGAAGCAUUGUUAAGGAACUCGGCAAAUUGACCCCGUAACUUAGGGAUAAGGGGUGCUGGUGUAAAAGCCAGUCGCAGUAAAUAGGCCCAAGCAACUGUUUAACAAAAACACAGGUUUCUGCUAAAUCGCAAGAUGAAGUAUAGGAGCUGACUCCUGCCCAGUGCUGGAAGGUUAAGGGGAAAGGUUAAGAAUAAUUCAUUAUAUCUGAAGCUUUGAACUCAAGCCCCAGUGAACGGCGGCCGUAACUAUAACGGUCCUAAGGUAGCGAAAUUCCUUGUCAGGUAAGUUCUGACCCGCACGAAAGGAGUAAUGAUUUGGGCACUGUCUCAACAAUGUACCCGGCGAAAUUGUAGUACUAGUGAAGAUGCUAGUUACCUGCGACAAGACGGAAAGACCCCAUGGAGCUUUACUAUAGCCUGAUAUUGGGCUUUGGUAUCUUAUGUACAGGAUAGGUGGGAGACUAUGAGAUUAAGACGCAAGUCUUAAAGGAGUCAACCUUGGAAUACCACCCUUAAGAUAUUAGAGUUCUAACUUGUGAUCAUAAACUGGUCAGAGGACAUUGUCAGGUGGGUAGUUUGACUGGGGCGGUCACCUCCUAAAGAGUAACGGAGGUGCGCAAAGGUUUCCUCGGCACGGUCAGAAAUCGUGCUAAUGAGUGUAAAGGCAUAAGGAAGCUUAACUGAGAGAGAGACAUCUCGACCAGAUACGAAAGUAGGUCUUAGUGAUCCGGUGGUAGAAAAUGGAAUUGCCAUCGCUCAACGGAUAAAAGUUACCCUGGGGAUAACAGGCUUAUCUCCCCCAAGAGUUCACAUCGACGGGGAGGUUUGGCACCUCGAUGUCGGCUCAUCGCAUCCUGGGGCUGUAGUCGGUCCCAAGGGUUGGGCUGUUCGCCCAUUAAAGCGGUACGCGAGCUGGGUUCAGAACGUCGUGAGACAGUUCGGUCCCUAUCUGUCGCAGGCGCAGGAUAUUUGAAAGGAGCUGUCCUUAGUACGAGAGGACCAGGAUGGACAUACCAAUGGUGCAACAGUUGUCACACCAGUGGCACAGCUGUGUAGCUAAGUAUGGAAGGGAUAAACGCUGAAAGCAUCUAAGCGUGAAGCCCCCCUUAAGAUAAGAUAUCCCACAACGUCAAGUUGGUAAGAUUCCAGUUAGACUAACUGGUUGAUAGGUUAGAGGUGUAAGUGUGGUGACACAUUUAGCUGACUAAUACUAAUAAUCGAGGGCUUAACCAA
rnacentral:rRNA from 1 species